rnacentral:lncRNA from 1 species
AGGGCUCGGGCGCGCCCGGUGGAGUGAAGCGCCGCGCAGUCGAAGCGCUCACAGAGUUAAAGUGGGCGGGAAAACCCGGAGCGGACUCCCUCGCGACCAGAGAUUCCUUGAGAUUUGAAAAGACUCCAGAUGUGGCUCAGGCUGACCUUGAACUCAUGAUCCUACUGCAUCCUUCACUACAUCUGGCUCUAUUUUAUCUUCGGAGGGUACAAAUAACCUACAAAAGAAAAGGCGCUCAAGGGGAGGAGCAGUGAGACAGCUCAGCAGGAAAGGGUGCUUUGUGCAGAAUCUGAAGACUGGAAGGAGAGGAGGGACAACUGCAAGUUGUCGUUCCCCGUCCACAUGUAUGUUACAGCACAUGUACACACACACACACAGAGUUAAAUAAAUGUGGAAAAAUAGGACUGGUAUAGCGUGUCACCCAAGCAUGAGGAGCCAAGUUCAACCCCUCAAGCCCACAUGAAAAAAUAAAAAACAGGCAUGGGGCAAACACUUGUAAUCUCACUGCUGGCUGGGAGAAACUGGCAGCAUAGUAUCAAGUACCAGGUCACAGUGAACCACAGGUCACAGUGAGGAACUCUGUCUCAAAAACAAGAUGUCUGGCUCCUGAGGAAUUCUGUCUUCCACAGGAGUGCACACACAUGCACACUCAUACAUGUGAAAAUACACAUAGUCCUUCAUACAAAAAGAGUCUAAUUUAUAGGAGAAGUAACACAAAAUGACAAGCUGUCAGCUGUCUCCUAUCAGAGUCCAGGCUGUCAUUAGCUUCUGUCGUAGAACAGGUCAUUAUUGUGGGUUUUGUAUCCAAGCUGGAUUCAUUUACUCAUUUAUUU